UGUGGCAGGAAAAAAGUUUGAGUCAAGACAGAACAACAAUUCUGUGAAUUUGAAGGUGGAGGGUAGGAUGGUUCUGGGGCGCAGUUGAAGGGGAAGAAGUACACAUCACUGAAUGAAGGAGUGGAAGCCUAUGGUGAAUGGCAGGGUUUGGCCAUGAAGCAAAUCAGAUUUGGAUUUUACGGACGGUCACUCAGUGAAACUGACACACCUGCAAAGCGGGAAAUGGAGGACGAAUAAACAGGUGAUGUGUUCCAGCAGCAGACAGGAGGG
rnacentral:lncRNA from 1 species